CAUGCGCCGUAAAAAAGCACGGCUGCCACGGGUUUUACUCUUCGAGCUUCGUCUACCGGUUAGCCGAUAAAAAAGCUCCGCCGCGAGACUCGUCGUUGGACGGUGUUCCAGGCGCGUUGCCGUGUUGGUUUCUGUUCGUGCUGAAUUUCAUCGUGACCGCGUUCUCUUGGUGCGAGAAAAUCCAGUUCAGUGGAUGUACGAGAAGAGACGGACGAGGGGUCGAAGGUUGGAAAGGUUGGAGAAAGAAAGGAAGGAUGAAGGGGAAAGAAGAAGAAUUUCGACCGCCCGAAGAAGAGGCAACAAGACGAAGGGGAGAAAGGAAAUUUUAAGGAUAUUGCCACGGUUAUCUUCCACGAUCUCGGCAUCUGUUCUCGUGAUCGUUCUAGUUGACGUCCAUGGCCUCCAACGGUCGGCUAUAAGGGUUGCUUCUCCGUGGAAACCCGGGGGUGAGAAUAGGAACAGACCACGCCUCUUGUCUAAGGUUACCCCCACCUUGAUCCUCGAGCAGUCUCCCUCCGCCACCGUGCGGGAAACCUAAGAUUUUUCCACUUCACCCCCUUCCAUACCACUUGCCGCCAGUAUCCUCUUGGCUGCUACCCCCUCCUUCGCUACUCAUUCACCCCUUACACCCGCCCCUUUCCUCUAGGAGAGUACCAACCCCCCUUCUUCUAUUGAUCCAGGUCUAAGGUCGUUUCUUGCGCUCUAGGAGCUGGCUACGCGAAUCCCGCUGGACCGAAGGAAACCCCCGCCUUUCAACCCUUCCUUUUCUUUUUUCUUCUUUUCCCUCCUUUCUUUUUCUCUUUUUCUCGCGUAACCUUGAAAACUUCUUUUUCACUCGACCGCGAGAUUUAUGCCGGCCUUCAAUGGAAUUCCUCGCACACAUUCGUUCCAUGUAUACGCGUGCUGUGCAUGUGUAAGCAGCCACGCACGCCCCUUUGAUAAUUAUCUUCAAUCGUUAUUUUUCCAAUUAACAAUGAUUCGUUUAUUUCGUUUGAUAUCUAUGUUCCUUCUAUUUUUAUUUAUUUUUAAUUGUCUUUUUUUUAUUAUUUGCUCUUCAUUGUGAAAUCUUAUUAAAGCUUAUUUAAAGUUAAAUACGUCUCUUUAAUUACCGCAAAAUAGAAAAUUUUAUAUUCAUUGGGAGCAUUCUCUUUACAAAUACAGUGAAAAAGCACGAGAAAUCUCGCGUUUUCUAGCUAAACGAGAGAACUUUCACCGUUAAACCGCGACCAUGUCGGUCGUUUCUGACGUCAUAGCUGGAACAGUUUUAUAGAAUCUCCUUUAGUAGUUCUGUGCGUGUAUAGAAUGUAACACCCAGUCCACGUCCCAUGGUGAAUGAACGUGGUGGUUAAGAGAGCGCGGGGGUGAAGGAGCGGCGCUUUAGCCGGCGGCUGUUAAACACGCCGGGUCUUAUCGGUAAAACUGUUCUGUACAGGGCUACCACGUUCAGCCAUUGGCCACGAGAGUAUCUGUAGCCUUAUACUCGUUGUCUGCCAGGUAUCUAGAAACGGUGCAUCGUGCAUGCGCUAAUCAGCCGCCCCGAAGAGUUUUCACGGUAACUGGAGCACGGUCGGUCGAUCCGGCGCGAAGAGGGGCAAAAGAGGUGAAGCUCGCAGAGACAGGAAGAUGGAUCGUUGCUCAGGUCCCGCAGCAAUGUCCUUGGACGCUGUCUGUGCCUUAGGACAGCACGUAAUCAUACCAGUCCGCUAUUACUUCCUAUAACGCUAUCUACGCCAGGAAACGCCAUUGCUCGCUCGUUCCUACGUAGAUUUUUAGAUCAUCUCAUCUUCUAGUAUGAAUAAGUAAGCAUACUUAAAAAUUCACAAUUCCUUGGCUGAUGUUCUCGAUGAAGUACGAUCAUUCAAGGUGUUCCAAUGUGUGGGAAUAAUUUUUUAAUUAGAAUAAAAUUUACAUUGACGAUAAUUUCUUGAAAAAUUGUUUCAGAAGGAUGAAACUUGAGGAAGUGACGGACUCUCUGUUCUAUCCGUUGCGGACGAAUGGUCUGUGUCACCCUCUCGAAGCGGUUGGAAAUUAACUUUGAGUAUUACAGAUGUCGAGGCGCGCCGCGGCGAGAAGCUAGCACCUUGUUAGUCUGACAAAUUCGGUCCGCUUCCCCUUCCUUCUGUCCUCCACUUUGCCGUAUAAGCAGUUAGUUCCAUUCCGCGGAGAAACACCGAGCCUGUUACUUACGGGACUAUCUAUUUGUAAAUUAUAUUUUCCUUCUUUGAUACAAGCACAGGGAUCUUUGCUUGAUCCGUUUAAACGAAGUCCUUAUCUUGUCCUGUACAAAUUCUGCUCCACGCUGAGUAAAUUAGUUGGCAGCUUGAUUAAAUGUAAACUCGACUUAAUAUACCCUUUUUCCUCCUCUUUUUUUUCCCUCGUUUCGCGUUAAAGGGGGAAGUAAUUUUAAAAAGAGUUUAAUCUAAAAGAAUGUAUUAAAUGUUUUUUCAUAAUUUAAUAUAUUUUUUAACGUAUAUACUCGGUUUUUAAUCCUCGGGAUUAAUAUAAUUUUAUUGAAUUAAAAAAGGAUAAAGCGAAGAGCAGAAUAUUUUUCCAAUCUUUCUCUUAUUAAGAUGGAAAGUGUGUAAAAAUAAUGAAAUAACAGAACUUUCUUCUACUAUAAAAAUUAGAUUUAUAAAGAUAUUAUUAUAUUAUCGCUAUAAAGUUUUCAAUCUUCUUAAUGAAUUUGUUUCAAUACAUUCCAUACUGAAUUCGAAUCUUGAAAUAAAGAAAAACAAAAAAAAAA